GCAGGGGUUAGCUCAGUGGUAGAGUGCUUGCCUAGCAAGCGCAAGGCCCUGGGUUUGAUCCCCAGCUCCGGAA
rfam:Rattus norvegicus chromosome 8, whole genome shotgun sequence.